AUGGAGCACCUCAGACCCACCCCAGCCCCUCCUCCAUGGAGCACCUCAGACCCACCCCAGCCCCUCCUCCAUGGAGCACCUCAGACCCACCCCGGCCCCUCCUCAAGGGAGCACCUCAGACCCACCCCAGCCCCUCCUCCAUGGAGCACCUCAGACCCACCCCAGCCCCUCCUCCAUGGAGCACCUCAGACCCACCCCAGCCCCUCCUCCAUGGAGCACCUCAGACCCACCCCAGCCCCACCUCCAUGGAGCACAGUCAGGCCCACCCCAGCUCCUCCUCCAUGGAGCACCUCAGACCCACCCCAGCCCCUCCUCCAUGGAGCACAGUCAGACCCACCCCAGCUCCUCCUCCACGGAGCACAGUCAGGCCACCCGCCUCCUCCUCCACGGAGCACCUCAGCCCCACCCCAGCUCCUCCUCCAUGGAGCACCUCAGACCCACCCCAGCUCCUCCUCCAUGGAGCACCUCAGACCCACCCCAGCCCCACCUCCAUGGAGCACAGUCAGGCCCACCCCAGCUCCUCCUCCAUGGAGCACCUCAGACCCACCCCAGCUCCUCCUCCACGGAGCACAGUCAGGCCCACCCCGCCUCCUCCUCCAUGGAGCACCUCAGCCCCACCCCAGCUCCUCCUCCAUGGAGCACCUCAGACCCACCCCAGCUCCUCCUCCAUGGAGCACCUCAGACCCACCCCAGCUCCUCCUCCAUGGAGCACAGUCAGACCCACCCCAGCUCCUCCUCCAUGGAGCACAAUCAGGCCCACCCCACCUCCUCCUCCAUGGAGCACAGUCAGACCCACCCCACCUCCUCCUCCAUGGAGCAGUCAGCUCCACCCCAGCGCCUCCUCCAUGGAGCACAGUCAGGCCCACCCCACCUCCUUCUCCAUGGAGCACAGUCAGGCCCAAUCCUCCUCCUCCAUGGAGCACCUCAGACCCACCCCAGCUCCUCCUCCAUGGAGCACAGUCAGGCCCACCCCGCCUCCUCCUCCAAGGAGCACAGUCAGGCCCACCCCACCUCCUUCUCCAUGGAGCACAGUCAGACCCACCCCAGCUCCUCCUCCAUGGAGCACAGUCAGACCCACCCCACCUCCUCCUCCAUGGAGCACCUCAGCCCCACCCCAGCUCCUCCUCCAUGGAGCAGUCAGCUCCACCCCAGCUCCUCCUCCAUGGAGCACAGUCAGGCCCACCCACCUCCUUCUCCAUGGAGCACAGUCAGGCCCACCCAGCUCCUCCUCCAUGGAGCACAGUCAGGCCCACCCCUCCUCCUCCAUGGAGCACCUCAGCCCCACCCCAGCUCCUCCUCCAUGGAGCAGUCAGCUCCACCCCAGCUCCUCUUCCAUGGAGCACAGUCAGGCCCACCCCACCUCCUUCUCCAUGGAGCACAGUCAGGCCCACCCCACCUCCUUCUCCAUGGAGCACAGUCAGGCCCAAUCCUCCUCCUCCAUGGAGCACCUCAGACCCACCCCAGCUCCUCCUCCAUGGAGCACAGUCAGGCCCACCCCGCCUCCUCCUCCAAGGAGCACAGUCAGGCCCACCCCACCUCCUCCUCCAAGGAGCACAGUCAGACCCACCCCAGCUCCUCCUCCAGGGAGCACAGUCAGGCCCAAUCCUCCUCCUCCAUGGAGCACAGUCAGACCCAGCCCGCUCCUCCAUGGAGCACAGUCAGAACCACAGUCAGACUUCCCUGCCUCCCCGUCCUGGAGCACAGUCAGAAGUCGUGAAGCUCUGUGUCCGCCCAGGCUUGUGUGCAGUCUGGCCCUGGAGCUGGCCAGCACAGCUGGGAGGUAUCUUGCAGCCUGUGGCUCUGAAUUGGCCAUAA
ensembl:lncRNA